GACGAACUGUCCUACCGUUGUUCGGAAUCACUGGGCUUAAAGGGCGCGUAGGCGGUCCGACAAGUCGGGGGUGAAAUCCUGCAGCUUAACUGCAGAAGUGCCUUCGAUACUGUCGGUCUUGAGGGAGAUAGGGGUGUGCGGAACUUCCAGUGGAGCGGUGAAAUGCGUUGAUAUUGGAAGGAACGCCGGAGGCGAAAGCGGCGCACUGGAUCUCUUCUGACGCUGAGGCGCGAAAGCUAGGGGAGCAAACGGG
rnacentral:rRNA from 1 species